rnacentral:tRNA from 1 species
UCCCUAGUGGCUCAGAAGUUAAAGCGUCUGCCUCCAAUGCAGGAGACCCAGGUUUGAUCCCUGGGUUGGGAA